rnacentral:lncRNA from 1 species
CCCCCUUAUAGUAAAGAAAACUGUAACAAAAUAAGAUAAUGAGAGAAACUAAAUACAACAACAUGAGGCAAGUCUGAGGCAAAAAACAAGAAGAGGCAUUUGGUUUCUGUGGCGUUUGUACGGAGCCCCUGAUCGUCUCACGGACUAUUGACCCGUACACCACUAAUCCGCUGCCACCAACCAGGUCCUCCCCGGUAAAUCACUUAGUCUCACUCAGGGGUUCUUAAUUUAACAAAGAAGAGUGUAGUUUAUUGCAGACACAAAUAAACUUUAACUGCAUUCAAAACGUUGUUACUCUUUACCUUCUUAGUCUUAUUUUAUCCUGUCUCUAACUCUUCUACCUCCCCUCACACAAGAACCAACUGCACUAACUGUCUCUCUAAUCCCAAUUGUCUGCCAACUGCUUUUCCAACUGCCUUUCCCAACCAACCAAUCCACUAAAACCAACCAACUACCCACCUCCCAAACCUCGGGCUAAGCCCUUUUAUAAACAGGUAGGCUCCGCCUCCGGCUUUCUUAUUGGUCUACAUAUUAACCCUUUCUCUCCCCCUGUACAGACAUUUUCAAACAAACAGGCAAACGCCACAUGCUCGCUUAACUGAGUGUUUUUAUUACACAACCUUCUUCUAAAUGGUCCCUCUUUCAGCAUUCUACAGAUAGGAUGUCCUUCCAUUUGUGUUCCAUCCCAUUAUGAUCUCUUUAGGUCAUGCUUAUGUCAUACAAGUUCCAAAUUAAUAAUUCUCAAACAGACACCAAAACUCACUAGGUGUGUUGAUGAAAUGCCAGACUGCAACAAUGAACAAACUCAAUGAAAAGGGAGAGGCGUUGCAAGACCUGGCUUCUGCCAUCAACAGGGCCAUAUUUGGGGAAGUGAGGCACAGGCAAUGAACAAGAAACCACACUGCUUGUUAUUUAGACAAGGAAGCAGGCCUGUCCCAGAAGCUAGGCUUUACCUAAUGACCUGGUUCGGCCUAUUGUCAAAGAGGUUUCAUCGCUGGUCUGGCUGUUCCAAUAUAUUUCCCUUCCUUGGCCAAUGAAUGAUGCUGGCUAAAUCCCUGCCAAAUAUCCCUCAGGCUCAAAUUUAGGAGCCAAUGCACUGUGGGCCAGAAUUCUGAUGGGCUUCUGGACAGAUUGCCCUUCAGUCAUGCCUAAUGUCAUCCAGAACAAUCCGACGCUAUCCGCGGGCUCAAUCUUGGCAGUCUGCAGGCAUCAGUGAUGCCAGCUCACCCACCUUGGCACAAAUGCCCAGCACUACUGAUUGGUUGUACAUUACACACACACAUCCAAAAUGGACUGGCAGUAACCAGGACUAGCUAAAAUGCCCCCUUAGGACAGAAUUAUAGCUAUCUGGAAGUGCAGUCCCCAGAUGAUUCUUUCUCUUUCACAAGGUAAAUGUCACACAAAAAGGCCUUUAAAAAAAGAAAGAGAAAGGAAAAAAAGGAGACUAUGCCCUGGAGAUUUAUGAACAAUGCAGAAGACCCAAUACGCAUUGUAUGCUCUCAUAUUGAAGAUAAGACAGAAGGUGGGCAUUGUGGAAGUUGCAGAGCUUUGGAGUGAGUGCAGGAACACACACUCAUCCAUGCAUGUUCUUGCUGAUCACACUUCAAAGAACCUAACAAUAAUGUCUGUGGAAGCGAGAGGGAUUAUCCUUCAUACUUGAAAGUGACACAUCUGGCUCGCUAGAAAAUGGGAAGGGGGGGGGAUGAAUUGACAGAAAUGAAAGGUAAAGAUCUGAGUCUAAAUACACAAUGCAUCAGCCUGCAGCUUUUCUUGAAAGAAGACCCUCGGUAAGACAUGAAAGGCACAGAGGAAAGAAGCUCUUUAUUAGAAUGAAAGGCAGUGUAUAUAUACGUUUUAAUGAAAUUCAAUUCUCUCUCUAAUUGGG